rnacentral:tRNA from 1 species
GUACUGUAAAUAUAGUUUAAGCAAAACCCUAGAUUGUGAAUCUAGCAAUAGAGGCUUAAAAUCCUCUUGU